ensembl:lncRNA
UCUUCAUGUCUAAUCUUGGUGUAAUGUGGAACAGAACUUUUUGGGGAUCCCAUAUUGUUUUGGUAAGUGCAUUUAACAAACACUAGUUAAAAAGCGAUACUGAUGGCAGCAGUAUUUCAGCGGUCAUUCAGUUUAAAACAAUGUUUUAAACCAUAACUCCAUAGAUCUGCAACAGCUGCGGAUAAAUUUCUGUAAUUGUGUGGUAUCAGUUUUUUUCUUUCUUUAUUGUUACCACGGUUAUGGUACAGCAAAUGACCAUUAAAAAAAAAAAAGCGAAAUUGAAGGAAAAAUAUAUAGGGAAGAAGGAGGAGCUCAACACCAGUAGGUCGUCAUCUUAUAAUUCACACUGAAGUGCUGUUUACAUUCAUGCUGAAAAAAGUACCGGUACACAUUUCUUUCACCUUCUUCAACUUUCAGCUUCUUGCUAGAUGUGGUUCUGUGUCUUUGUUUUUCCUAUAGUAGUAUAAUGGCUAAUUGCAGCAUAGAGUCAACCUGUCACAGGUCAUGUGUAGACAGCUAAACUCUUCAUGUUUUGAGUGAACUGUGAAAAUGUUGUACUGAAGUAACAACAUUACCAAAUAUUGAUUUAACAACAUUUUAACGGCACGGCAUAUGAAGCUCAGAGUCAUCGUGGACAAUGAUGGCUUUAAAAUGGCUUCUUCUAAUGGCUUCUCCAUUCGGGAAGGCCAGAAACUUUAAAGGAGUUUCACAGUACAAUUUGCCAAGCAUUUGGAAUUGAACGAGACUUUGGUAUUCAGUUCGUGGAUCCUGACUUCAGUAAUGAAUUCAUGAAUGUUACAUCAGUACAAGACAUACGGGACAGAAGUACAAUCAAGUUAGUGUACAUCAUGCUGAGUGAUGUGGGUGUGAGUCCAUCUUCUCCAUUGCAAAAUUGCCCCAGCACUUCAGGAUCAUCUGGAGCACCAAGAAGAGGCCCAACAUCUCCCAGUGUGUCCUCAUUGUCUUCAACAGACUAUGAUAACACCAUCAUUCAGGGACUGAACCGAGAGCGUGUGCAUGACCACGAUCAUCUGGAGCACCAAAAAGAGGCCCAACAUCUCCCAGUGUGUCCUCAUUGUCUUCAACAGACUAUGAUAACACCAUCAUUCUGCCACAUUCAGGGACUGAACCGAGAGCGUGUGCAUGACCACGUGAGUUCUCUAUUCCUUGCUUUCCAAACAAUGUACAGGUGCAGCAUAUACAUAUGAUACAGUGUGAUGGAUAAAAUGAACCACAUAUUAGCAACAGCUACCGUACACACUCAACAUUUCAGUUUCACCAAAGGGGGGGGGGGUAUUCAAAAUGAAACUACAAAAGUAAUAAAUGUGAGUAUUCUUAAAUCA